AUUGAACGCUGGCGGCAGGCUUAACACAUGCAAGUCGAGCGGGGUGAUGGUGCUUGCACUAUCACUUAGCGGCGGACGGGUGAGUAAUGCUUAGGAAUCUGCCUAUUAGUGGGGGACAACAUCUCGAAAGGGAUGCUAAUACCGCAUACGCGCUACGGGAGAAAGCAGGGGAUCACUUGUGACCUUGCGCUAAUAGAUGAGCCUAAGGCGGAUUAGCUAGUUGGUGGGGUAAAGGCCUACCAAGGCGACGAUCUGUAGCGGGUCUGAGAGGAUGAUCCGCCACACUGGGACUGAGACACGGCCCAGACUCCUACGGGAGGCAGCAGUGGGGAAUAUUGGACAAUGGGGGGAACCCUGAUCCAGCCAUGCCGCGUGUGUGAAGAAGGCCUUAUGGUUGUAAAGCACUUUAAGCGAGGAGGAGGCUCUUUUGGUUAAUACCCAAGAUGAGUGGACGUUACUCGCAGAAUAAGCACCGGCUAACUCUGUGCCAGCAGCCGCCGUAA
rnacentral:rRNA from 1 species